CGGCGUGCUUAACACAUGCAAGUCGAGUGCGCGCCUGUAGCAAUACAGGUGGCGCACGGCGCACGGGUGCGUAACACGUGGGCAAUCUGCCCUUCGAUGGGGAAUAACUCCGGGAAACCGAAGCUAAUUCCGCAUAACAUUCCUUGGACUCCGGUUCGAGGAUUCAAAGCCGCAAGGCGUCGAAGGAGGAGCCCGCGCCCGAUUAGCUAGUUGGCGAGGUAACGGCUCACCAAGGCAAUGAUCGGUAGCUGGUCUGAGAGGAUGGCCAGCCACACUGGAACUGAGACACGGUCCAGACUCCUACGGGAGGCAGCAGUGGGGAAUCUUGCACAAUGGGCGAAAGCCUGAUGCAGCGACGCCGCGUGGGGGAUGAAGCAUUUCGGUGUGUAAACCCCUUUCGACCGGGAAGAAUGCCCGCAAGGGAGUGACGGUACCGGUAUAAGAAGCCCCGGCUAACUACGUGCCAGCAGCCGCGGUAAGACGUAGGGGGCCAGCGUUGUUCGGAAUUACUGGGUGUAAAGGGUUCGUAGCGGUGUGGCAAGUCGGGAGUGAAAUCUAUGGGCUUAACCCAUAGCUGCUUCCGAAACUGCUGUGCUUGA
rnacentral:rRNA from 1 species